GCGACAAGGAAGGAUCUUCUCUCCAGG
rnacentral:sRNA from 1 species